AGUUACCACUGGAAGUGCCGUCAAUUAGCGGCUGAGAUUAAAAUAGUGAUUUUAAAAUUCCUGUACCUGAUCCAGAUAAUGCUGGCGUAGGAAAGUGGCAUACGAUUCAU
rnacentral:ncRNA from 1 species